GAUAUGAACUCUCCGAAAAAAUUACGCUGUUAUCCCUAAGGUAAGUUAAUCUUAUAAUCAAAAAUUUUGGAUCAAAAAAACAUAAAUUAAUGAAUAAAAUAUUAAAAGUUAAAUAAAUUUUAAUGUCACCCCAACAAAACUUUAUAUUCUAAAAAAUUGUUUAAUAAACAAAAAACAAUAAUUAAUAAAUAAAGUAAACUUCUAUAGGGUCUUCUCGUCCUAUAAAAAAAUUUUAGCUUUUUAACUAAAAAAUUAAAUUCAAAAUAAUUAAAAAAAGAAAGUUUAUUUUUCAUCAAACCAUUCAUACUAGCCUUCAAUUAAAAGACAAAUGAUUAUGCUACCUUCGUACAGUUAAAAUACCGCAGCCUUUUAAUUCAUAAAAAUCAAUGGGCAGGCCUGAUCUUAAAUUAAAAUCAAAAGACC
rnacentral:rRNA from 4 species